rnacentral:rRNA from 1 species
GGACGAACGCUGGCGGCGUGCCUAACACAUGCAAGUCGAACGGGGUAAUUCCUUCGGUUGAUUGAAUCUGAGGAAAGUGGCGAACGGGUGAGUAACGCGUGAGAAACCUGCCUUUCAGUGGGGGACAACAGUUGGAAACGACUGCUAAUACCGCAUAACGUAUAUUGGGGGCAUCCCUGAUAUACCAAAGCUUUAUGUGCUGAAAGAUGGUCUCGCGUCUGAUUAGCUAGAUGGCGGGGUAACGGCCCACCAUGGCGACGAUCAGUAGCCGGUCUGAGAGGAUGAACGGCCACAUUGGGACUGAGAUACGGCCCAGACUCCUACGGGAGGCAGCAGUGGGGAAUAUUGGGCAAUGGGGGAAACCCUGACCCAGCAACGCCGCGUGAAGGAAGAAGGCCUUCGGGUUGUAAACUUCUUUUAGUAGGGACGAAUACGUGACGGUACCUACAGAAAAAGCAACGGCUAACUACGUG